UGAGUAACACAUCGGAACGUGCCUAGUAGUGGGGGAUAACUACUCGAAAGAGUAGCUAAUACCGCAUGAGAUCUAAGGAUGAAAGCAGGGGACCUUCGGGCCUUGCGCUACUAGAGCGGCUGAUGGCAGAUUAGGUAGUUGGUGGGAUAAAAGCUUACCAAGCCGACGAUCUGUAGCUGGUCUGAGAGGACGACCAGCCACACUGGGACUGAGACACGGCCCAGACUCCUACGGGAGGCAGCAGUGGGGAAUUUUGGACAAUGGGCGAAAGCCUGAUCCAGCAAUGCCGCGUGUAGGAUGAAGGCCCUCGGGUUGUAAACUACUUUUGUACGGAACGAAAAGCUCUCUUCUAAUAAAGGAGAGUGAUGACGGUACCGUAAGAAUAAGCACCGGCUAACUACGUGCCAGCAGCCGCGGUAAUACGUAGGUGCGAGCGUUAAUCGGAAUUACUGGGCGUAAAGCG
rnacentral:rRNA from 1 species